CCCUGUCAGCACGCACGACAGCCGUCGACUGCCGCGAACUUUCCGACACGCGUUCGAAAAUCGAAAUUCGAAUUAUUUUUUUAAUUUAACAUUUUUAUGAGCGGACAGUACGACACUGGUUUUUAUGAAUUGUGAAAAAUUAAUUCGAGUGCAAAAUAGUGCAAAUGUGCUGUGCUGUGAAGUGAAAGUGAUUAACACGUGUGCUUUACGUUAUGGACAGUCACGAAAAUUUAUUUUCAGAUAAUACCUCACACAGUCGCCUCGAUACCUUAAGAAGAGCAAAAUUAACAAGGUGCAGAAUGUCGGUGCGACGGUGGUAGAGGCUAGGAGGGCGGCGGGAAGGGCUCGCGCGCGCCCGUCCGCCGGCCGCCUGCCUCGCUUGCCGACGCGCU